AAGAAAAUAAAGAAUGAAACACAAAGCAAAAGAAGCCAAGAAAAGCUGAAAAAUUAGGUGGGGGCAAGACAGAAGAAUCGGAUCCAUGUGUGAAUAUAAUGCAAAUGUUUUACCUAAUUUCAUCUUGGUAGGUAGUACAAUAGAAAAUGAAAUUGUCUUGAAUCUAUUGAAUCUAUAGUUAACACUUUCUGCCACUCACGU
rnacentral:lncRNA from 1 species